rnacentral:lncRNA from 1 species
ACUUAUUGUAGCUCAGCAGAACAUGGAGGAAAAUAUAUUUACACUUUUGACGAAUUGCAAAUUUUUAGAUUCGCAAGAUGACUACAUUGAUAAAACUUUAUCUAUAAAAAUAUAUCAAAAGAUUUACCUGGAGAAAAAUCGAUUCCUUUACGUGUUCAUCUGGAUCGAAGUCAACUCUUCAUCUCAUAUUUCCAAGGUUUAGUAAAUUCGGAUCCUGAUAAAUUGAACUCAUUCUUCAUCUAAUUAUUGAUUCCACCACUGGAAUGGAUCGGUCUUCUUGUUCCUCAUCCAGUAAUGGAUUGGAAAAGGAAAAAAUGAGAGCGAAAAAAAAAAAUACAUUUGUACAGUCAUCAGUUUAUUUGAUAAAUUACCAUUCUAUAAAGAGUGUGAUCAACUCAAUAUAUUUCACUUCCGUGCAUUUUUUAUUGUGGAUCUUGCCCAAUCUAAAUUUAAUACUUCUCUUAUUCUGCUAAUCUGUGACGUAGUAGAGGAAGGUAGGAUAAAGUGGCCAGAGCAGGUAAAGUGGCCAUUGGAUAUUACUGCUCUAUACUCUUCAG